ensembl:lncRNA
ACCGAGACGCUCGAUCCAGCUGUGGCCCCGCCCACCGCGUCGACGGGAGCGCGCAGGGAUCUUAACUCUUCGGGUGCGCUGUGAAUGAACUCUUCCACACACUUCUGAUCAUCUGAAGGGAUUCUGUCACGCCGUGAAAACACACUGGCAUCUAACUACACCUCCGUCCGUCGAUCCAGAGGCGUCUGUUAAACACACAUGGACUUUCGUGUCCGUUUUCACGCCUGAAGAAAGAAAGAACGAAAGGACUAUUUUAGCUUUAUUUUAAGUUGAAGUUUUCAUCUUUUGUCAUAUGAAGGAUAUGGGCAGAUGUGGAAAUGUUGCGUUUUGUGCGAUGGUGCUCUUCUACUGUUCUUUCAUUACAGGUGAUUAUCUCUGCGUGUCAUCUGCGGCUGACGUGUCUUCAUCACCUCACAGCUCUGUGAAGAGAAGAAACGGCGUGACUGAAGUCAACAUGACCUCGACCCCCGGCAGCGAUCAGACGCAGUCCUCCACUAACAUCACCAACAGCACCGAGCCCACGCCGCACACAGACACAACUACAGUAAUGUUGGUGAACUCAUCUGCCCCGGCCGAGAACGUCACAGACAGUCCAAACGUCACUGAUGCAUCACCUGUGAUUAAUGAGACCGCAGUUACCACGGUAAAACCUACCACACUCCCACCAUCAAGGACCCACGAGCCCACAAGCAGCAUCCACCUCAGCACGCUCCACCCGACAUCCACCGCCGCAGCAACCAGCGGAGCUCCAGAGUCAACGAGCGCUCGCAGCAGACGGAGAUCCACCACGCAGAUGACCGCGAGCAGCAGUCCCGUCCAGGCCAGAGCCCACGCCGACACCCCCUCCGCUCUGAACGUCCCAGACCACGACAAUAGCAAAGCGUCCACUGACCCGCUGCUGGCUGGACUGGUGUCGGCGUUCGUCGUCGUCGCUGCCAUCGUGUCCGUGCUCAUAUUCCUCAAAUUCAGAAACACAAAUGACGGCCCAGAGUUUCGCAGACUUCAGGAUCUCCCCAUGGUGAGAUUACGCUUUCCACAAUCCACUGAAUAA